rnacentral:rRNA from 1 species
GAUGAACGCUGGCGGCGUGCUUAACACAUGCAAGUCGAACGAAGCACUUUAAUCGAUUUCUUCGGAUUGAAAUUUUAGUGACUGAGUGGCGGACGGGUGAGUAACGCGUGGGUAACCUGCCUCACACAGGGGGAUAACAGUUGGAAACGGCUGCUAAUACCGCAUAAGCGCACAGUACCGCAUGGUACGGUGUGAAAAACUCCGGUGGUGUGAGAUGGACCCGCGUCUGAUUAGCUAGUUGGCAGGGCAGCGGCCUACCAAGGCGACGAUCAGUAGCCGACCUGAGAGAGUGACCGGCCACAUUGGGACUGAGACACGGCCCAAACUCCUACGGGAGGCAGCAGUGGGGAAUAUUGCACAAUGGGGGAAACCCUGAUGCAGCGACGCCGCGUGAGCGAAGGAGUAUUUCGGUAUGUAAAGCUCUAUCAGCAGGGAAGAAGAAAUGACGGUACCUGACUAAGAAGCACCGGCUAAAUACGUGCCAGCAGCCGCAGUAA